rnacentral:lncRNA from 1 species
CGCUCGAAUCCAAAAAAAUUAAAAAGGCCAAAUACGGUACGAAGUUGAAGAGCAUUGAGGACCACAAUUCCUAAAAGUUUUGCCAAAUACAGCUAAGGUAAUCUAUGCCUGAGGUAGAAAAGCCUUAGUAUUUCAAAAAAAUCUAAAUUUUGUAAACAGUUAAUUUAUAAAUAUAACAAUAUCAAUGAUAAUUCUCGUCAGCACUGUUGCUUGUGAUACCCUCGGGGAAAUAAAUCUCCACCAGCAGUGGCAUCGACCCAGUGGUUGUAAAUAAACUCAUCAUAGAUACCAGGACUAUAUUUUAUAUAUACGCCAGACGCGCGUUUCGUCUACAAAAGACUCAUUAGUGACGUUCGAAUCCAAAAAAGUUAAAAAGG